AGGACAAACGCUGGCGGCGUGCAUAAAACAUGCAAGUCGGACGAGCCAAUCCCCGCAAGGGGAAAGGCUAGUGGCGAACGGCUGAGUAACACGUAGGUGAUCUGCCCUGAAGUGGGGGAUAACGACUCGAAAGAGUCGCUAAUAUCGCAUGUGACCACCGACUUCCGUUUCGGUGCUACAAA
rnacentral:rRNA from 1 species